CCUACGGGAGGCUGCAGUAGGGAAUCUUCCACAAUGGGCGCAAGCCUGAUGGAGCAACGCCGCGUGGGUGAAGAAGGUCUUCGGAUCGUAAAACUCUGUUGUUAGAGAAGAAAGUGCGUGAGCGUAACUGUUCACGUAUCGACGGUAUCAAACCAGAAAGCCACGGCUAACUACGUGCCAGCAGCCGCGGUAAUACGUAGGUGGCAAGCGUUAUCCGGUUUUAUUGGGCGUAAAGGGAACGGAGGCGGUCUUUUAAGUCGAAUGUGAAAGCCUUCGGCUUAACCGGAAUAGUGCAUUUGAAACUGGGAGACUUGAGUGCAGUAGAGGAGGGUGGAACUCGAUGUGUAGCGGUGAAAUGCGUAGAUAUAUGGAAGAACACCAGUGGCGAAGGCGGCUCUCUAGUCUGUAACUGACACUGAGGUUCGAAAGCGUGGGUAGCAAACAGGAUUAGAUACCCGUGUAGUC
rnacentral:rRNA from 1 species